rnacentral:misc_RNA from 1 species
CCUCCUUAUACGAUUUAGAACUUAUUUGUUCGUAGUGUCCACACAGAUGAUUGUUAGUUAGUUUGCUCUUUGAGUUUACUAAUUAAUAUGCUCUUUAAAAAUUUGGAAAAGCUGAUAAUAAAAUUCGUAUGAAUGACAUUUGUUAUUUGUACGGAGUUUUCAAAAGUAAAAAAGAAUGAUAGCAGUAUCAUUCAGUGCCAAUUUAAUCUUCGGAUUAAUUGGUAUCUACUUUAGUAUUCAAUAUUAACUUCUGGCGAAGUUAAACUGUCACAAAACAAAGACCCGUUUGGGUUGUAUGGUUAAGUGACUAAGCGUACACGGUGGAUGC